rnacentral:misc_RNA from 1 species
CGGCAAACCAUGACUGCAACUAUCCAUGCCUUCUCUCACCUCCAAUUCACUCGCCUUCCUUCUCGAGUCUGCCGUCAAAACUCGCUCCUCCCUCCUUGGCCGAGCCACCCAUGCCCAGACCAUCAAGAGCCUUCAAUCUCCACUCCCUUCCUUUCUCGCCAACCACCUUAUCAAUAUGUAUUCCAAACUCGACCUUCCGAAGUCGGCCCACCUCCUCCUCCAACUCACCCCAAAUCGGUCCGUCGUCACCUGGACAGUGCUCAUUUCCGGCUCCGUUCAAAAUGGUCAUUUUUCGUCUGCCUUACUCCAAUUUUUUAACAUGCGCUGCGAAAAUAUCCAACCCAACGAUUUCACUUUUCCUUGCGCGUUUAAAGCGUCUGCUUCACUUCGGUUAUCCUUCAUAGGAAAACAGGUGCAUGCGAUUGCGGUUAAGUUUGGACAAAUAUACGAUGUAUUCGUUGGGUGCAGUGCUUUUGAUAUGUAUUCGAAAACAGGGCUUAAACAUGAAGCGCAGAAACUGUUUGAUGAGCUGCCUGAGAGAAAUGUCGUUACGUGGAAUGCGUAUAUUUCUAAUGCGGUGCUUGAUGGGAGGCUUAUAAAUGCUGUCAAUACAUUCAUAGAGUUUCGCCGAAUGGGUGGAGAGCCUGACUCCAUAACUUUUUGUGCGUUUCUCAAUGCAUGUGCUGAUCCGUUGUAUUUGGACCUUGGGAGACAGUUGCACGGGUUUGUGAUUCAGAGUGGCUUUGAAGCGGAUGUUUCUGUUUCAAAUGGGCUUGUUGAUUUUUAUGGAAAGUGUAGGGAGGUUAGAUUGGCUGAGAUGGUGUUUGGUGGGAUGGAGAAGAGGAAUGCUGUUUCAUGGUGCUCCAUGGUGGCUGCUUGUGAGCAGAAUGGCGAGGAAGAGAAGGCUUGUGUGUUUUUUUUGGAGGGUAGGAGAGAAGGAGUUGAGCCAACAGAUUAUAUGGUUUCUAGUGUUAUCAGUGCUUGUGCAGGGCUUGCAGGACUUGAAUUGGGACGGUCAGUUCAUGCACUUGCUGUGAAAGCAUGCAUGGAGGUUGAUAUUUUUGUUGGCAGCGCCCUUGUUGACAUGUAUGGGAAAUGUGGGAGCAUUGAGGAUUCUGAGCGAGCCUUUCAUGAGAUGCCCGAGAGGAAUAUGGUUACUUGGAAUGCAAUGAUUGGUGGGUACACACACCAAGGACAUGCUGACAUGGCCAUUAGAUUGUUUGAAGAAAUGAAAUCUGAGGUGGCACCAAACUAUGUGACCAUGGUGUGUGUAUUAUCAGCUUGUAGUAGGGGAGGUGCAGUUGAAUGGGGCAUGGAAAUUUUUGAGUCAAUGAGAGACAGGUACAAGAUUGAACCAGGGUCAGAGCAUUAUGCUUGUAUUGUGGACUUGUUAGGGCGAGCUGGUAUGGUAGAAAAUGCCUAUGAGUUUGUAAAGAAAAUGCCUAUGCAUCCAACAAUUGAGGUUUGGGGAGCUCUUUUAAAUGCUUGUAGGGUGUAUGGGAAGGCAGAAUUGGGAAAAAUUGCUGCCAGUAACUUAUUUGCACUUGAUCCAAAAGAUUCUGGCAACCAUGUGCUGCUUUCAAAUAUGUUUGCUGCUGCUGGCAGGUGGGAGGAAGCCACCCUGGUGAGAAAAGAAAUGAUGGACGUUGGGAUCAAGAAGGGUGCAGGUUGUAGUUGGCUUACUGCAAAGAAUAGGAUCCACGUCUUCCAAGCAAAGGAUACAUCCCACGCAAUGAACUCUGAGAUACAGGCAAUGCUAGUUAAGCUAAGAAUGGAAAUGAAGGCGGCUGGCUACAUACCUGACACAAACUAUGCACUUUAUGAUUUAGAAGAAGAGGAGAAAAUUACAGAAGUUUGGUACCACAGCGAGAAGAUUGCCCUCGCCUUUGGCCUUGUAGCUAUCCCUCCUGGAGUACCUAUAAGAAUUACCAAAAACCUUAGGAUAUGUGGUGAUUGUCAUAGUGCCUUCAAAUUUAUCUCAGGCAUUGUUGGCAGAGACAUUAUUGUUAGAGAUAACAGUCGAUUUCAUCACUUUCAGAGUAGUCAGUGUUCCUGCAGAGAUUAUUGGUGAUAUUUUUUUCUUGUUAACAAAUUUUUCGCAAAUUAUACAUCAUGCUGGAGUGGAGGGAUCUCUUAUAAAUCUUAAAUCAAGGAUAACCUUGUAGUUAUACUAAAUUUCCAGAACAAGAAUAUGGAUUCCAAUUUUGAUCCUUUGAGAUUUUAUUGUUG